UGAGGGAUGGGCCUGCGGGCCAUUAGCUUGUGUGAGGUAACGGCUCACCAAGGCUGUGAUGGCUUAGCUGGUCUGAGAGGAUGACCAGCCACACUGGGACUGAGACACGGCCCAGACUCCUACGGGAGGCAGCAGUGGGAAUAUUGCGCAAUGGGCGAAAGCCUGACGCAGCGACGCCGCGUGGGUGAUGAAGGCCUUCGGGUCGUAAAGCCCUGUCGCAGGGGAAGAAUAAGCAUCGGUAUAAUACGCCGGUGCCCUGACGGUACCCUGCAAGAAAGCACCGGCUAACUCCGUG
rnacentral:rRNA from 1 species